GCCGAGGUAGGAGCAAAUCUCAAAAAAACAAUCUCAGUUCAGACUGCAGGCUGCAACUCGCCUGCACGAAGUCGGAAUUGCUAGUAAUCGUAGGUCAGCAUACUACGGUGAAUACGUUCCCGGGCCUUGUACACACCGCCCGUCAAACCAUGAGAGUUGGCAACACCCGAAGUCGGUAGUCUAACCGCAAGGAGGACGCCGCCGAAGGUGGGGUUGAUGAUUAGGGUUAAGUCGUAACAAGGUAUC
rnacentral:rRNA from 1 species